rnacentral:rRNA from 1 species
CUGGGGGGGGGUGGCUUUACACAUGCAAGUCGAACGGGAUCCAUCAGGCUUUGCUUGGUGGUGAGAGUGGCGAACGGGUGAGUAAUGCGUGACCGACCUGCCCCAUACACCGGAAUAGCUCCUGGAAACGGGUGGUAAUGCCGGAUGCUCCGACUCCUCGCAUGGGGUGUCGGGAAAGAUUUCAUCGGUAUGGGAUGGGGUCGCGUCCUAUCAGGUAGUCGGCGGGGUAACGGCCCACCGAGCCUACGACGGGUAGCCGGCCUGAGAGGGCGACCGGCCACAUUGGGACUGAGAUACGGCCCAGACUCCUACGGGAGGCAGCAGUGGGGAAUAUUGCACAAUGGGCGCAAGCCUGAUGCAGCGACGCCGCGUGCGGGAUGACGGCCUUCGGGUUGUAAACCGCUUUUGAUCGGGAGCAAGCCUUCGGGUGAGUGUACCUUUCGAAUAAGCACCGGCUAACUACGUGCCAGCAGCCGCGGUAAUACGUAGGGUGCAAGCGUUAUCCGGAAUUAUUGGGCGUAAAGGGCUCGUAGGCGGUUCGUCGCGUCCGGUGUGAAAGUCCAUCGCUUAACGGUGGAUCUGCGCCGGGUACGGGCGGGCUGGAGUGCGGUAGGGGAGACUGGAAUUCCCGGUGUAACGGUGGAAUGUGUAGAUAUCGGGAAGAACACCAAUGGCGAAGGCAGGUCUCUGGGCCGUUACUGACGCUGAGGAGCGAAAGCGUGGGGAGCGAACAGGAUUAGAUACCCUGGUAGUCCACGCCGUAAACGGUGGAUGCUGGAUGUGGGGCCCGUUCCACGGGUUCCGUGUCGGAGCUAACGCGUUAAGCAUCCCGCCUGGGGAGUACGGCCGCAAGGCUAAAACUCAAAGAAAUUGACGGGGGCCCGCACAAGCGGCGGAGCAUGCGGAUUAAUUCGAUGCAACGCGAAGAACCUUACCUGGGCUUGACAUGUUCCCGACAGCCGUAGAGAUAUGGCCUCCCUUCGGGGCGGGUUCACAGGUGGUGCAUGGUCGUCGUCAGCUCGUGUCGUGAGAUGUUGGGUUAAGUCCCGCAACGAGCGCAACCCUCGCCCUGUGUUGCCAGCACGUCAUGGUGGGAACUCACGGGGGACCGCCGGGGUCAACUCGGAGGAAGGUGGGGAUGACGUCAGAUCAUCAUGCCCCUUACGUCCAGGGCUUCACGCAUGCUACAAUGGCCGGUACAACGGGAUGCGACACGGCGACGUGGAGCGGAUCCCUGAAAACCGGUCUCAGUUCGGAUUGGAGUCUGCAACCCGACUCCAUGAAGGCGGAGUCGCUAGUAAUCGCGGAUCAGCAACGCCGCGGUGAAUGCGUUCCCGGGCCUUGUACACACCGCCCGUCAAGUCAUGAAAGUGGGUAGCACCCGAAGCCGGUGGCCUAACCCUUUGUGGAUGGAAGCCGUUCUAAAAGGGG